GAUGAACGCUGGCGGCGUGCCUAAUACAUGCAAGUCGAGCGAACAGACGAGGAGCUUGCUCCUCUGACGUUAGCGGCGGACGGGUGAGUAACACGUGGAUAACCUACCUAUAAGACUGGGAUAACUUCGGGAAACCGGAGCUAAUACCGGAUAAUAUAUUGAACCGCAUGGUUCAAUAGUGAAAGACGGUUUUGCUGUCACUUAUAGAUGGAUUCGCGCCGCAUUAGCUAGUUGGUAAGGUAACGGCUUACCAAGGCAGCGAUGCGUAGCCGACCUGAGAGGGGGAUCGGCCACACUGGAACUGAGACACGGCCCUGACUCCUACGGGAGGCAGCAGUAGGGAAUCUUCCGCAAUGGGCGAAAGCCUGACGGAGCAACGCCGCGUGAGUGAUGAAGGUCUUCGGAUCGUAAAACUCUGUUAUUAGGGAAGAACAAAUGUGGAAGUAACUAUGCACGUCUUGACGGUACCUAAUCAGAAAGCCACGGCUAACUACGUG
rnacentral:rRNA from 1 species